rnacentral:rRNA from 1 species
GUGGGGAAUCUUGGACAAUGGGCGCAAGCCUGAUCCAGCCAUGCCGCGUGGGCGAUGAAGGUCUUCGGAUUGUAAAGCCCUUUUGGCGGGGACGAUAAUGACGGUACCCGCAGAAUAAGCUCCGGCUAACUUCGUGCCAGCAGCCGCGGUAAUACGAAGGGGGCUAGCGUUGUUCGGAAUUACUGGGCGUAAAGCGUGCGCAGGCGGUUUUUCAAGUCAGAGGUGAAAGCCCCGGGCUCAACCCGGGAAUGGCCUUUGAGACUGGAUGGCUAGAGUGUGAGAGAGGUGAGUGGAAUUCCCAGUGUAGAGGUGAAAUUCGUAGAUAUUGGGAAGAACACCCGUGGCGAAGGCGGCUCACUGGCUCGCAACUGACGCUCAUGCACGACAGCGUGGGGAGCAAACAGGAUUAGAAACCCGUGUAGUCC